CAGCAGCCACGGUAAUACGAAGGGUGCAAGCGUUAAUCGGGAUUACUGGGCGUAAAGCGUGCGUAGGCGGUGAGUUAAGUCUGCUGUGAAAUCCCCGGGCUCAACCUGGGAAUGGCAGUGGAUACUGGCUCGCUAGAGUGUGUCAGAGGAUGGUGGAAUUCCCGGUGUAGCGGUGAAAUGCGUAGAGAUCGGGAGGAACACCGAUGGCGAAGGCAGCCCCCUGGGCCAAUACUGACGCUCAUGCACGAAAGCGUGGGGAGCAAACAGGAUUAGAUACCCGCGUAGUCCCUGUCUCUUAUAC
rnacentral:rRNA from 1 species